CCAAACGCAGCGCCCACCCUAACUCUCGCCUCUCUUCCACUCUGUCACUGACCGUCCUCUGUUUCAUGCUAGGUUACCCAAUUCAUAGACAUCAACUUCAUGGGGUAAAAUUUUCCAUUUUUUGUGGAUUUGUUUUGUGCAUUACAAAUUCAAACAUAUGAACUUCACAUGAUUUCCAAUGUAAUGGAUAUUGUGUUUUUAUUGUUGUUUAUCUAUCUUGCUGGGCGUCAAUAAUGCCUUCUAGUCCGAAUCUUGCGUUGGGUACAGCUUCUGAUCAGUGUAAACAGUAAUAUCCAUUACUUUGUUAAUCCUUUAUUCAGCUUUGCAUGUGUUGGCACCUUGAUUGGAAGAGGUCAAAUGAUGAACAAAUUCAAGUUUCCGAAUCUCGGAUAGUUAAUCUGGGUACUGUGGUUCGUUACUUGAAUAGGAAGAUCUGAUGCCUCUAACAUUUUAUAAACCUUUUCCAUAAUUUAUUGUCCUUUUUGGUUUAGAAAUUUAUUCUUGAGAAUAUAUUGCGAUUUGCUUUUUUGCUUUUCUUUUGAGUUGUAUUUUGUCAUUCAACACUGUGUAUGACGAGAAUAUAUGAAGUAUACAGUUAUCCCUGGCUGACAUGUAAGUGCUGAUAUUUCAUAUGGACUGACACUAAUCUCUGCCAAAUACUUUUUUCAAAAAAAAAAAAAAAAAACCUGUGUUUCUCAUUUUUUACUUUACACGAUGAUGAAGCCAAUGAUGCAGAAAUUUAGAAUUUUCAGAACAAAAGAUGUGUUGAAACUUCUGAACUAGGACGGUCUGAGGUUUCUCUGACACUUGUUUUUGCUUGCUUUUCUCAAAUUUAUGUUUUACGAAGUAGCACUCCCAUGUUUGUGGAUGAUGAAAAGGAAAAAUUCAACAGUUAUCCCUGGCUGAUUUUAUAUGCUGAUAGUUUGUUGGCUGACACGAACACACGGGAUUUUUUUUUUUUUUUUUUUGUGUUGUUGUUACAAGUUCAAGUGUAGUUGCAUUAUCUUUUUUGUCUUAAUUGUGCCAUGUUUGGAACAGAGAAGAUGAAGAUAGAUACUGCAUAAUGCGUUUUUUGAUUUCUAUGGAAUUUAUGGCCAUGGAGGAAAGAAGAUUCGCAAUGGGUUUAGCUUUCAAUCUGUUUGGCACAUUUUGUUUUUGUUAAUGACAAAUGGAUUCAAGUGUCAGAAUACUCCGAUUUUAAAUGAUACAAUUAUCUCUUUAAACUCGAAUGAAAUUUCAUAUAUUCUGAUUAGAAGUUAAUUUUUAGAAACUGCAAUAGCGAUUGCAUUUGCAUUUGCAUUUGCAUUUCUCUGUAUAUGAAGUGUUUUAACUUGUAAGUUAUCAUUAUGGAUGAUGAUAAUAUAUGAAGUAUAAAUUAUAGGCGCUGAUAUUUCACCGCAGGUUACUUGCUAUUAUUUCUUAAUCUAAUGGUUCACACUUCUGGGAGUUCUUUAGACAUGAUAUAUCCAGUAAGUUUAAUAUACGGAUCAGGGUCCAUAGGACCAAAUAAUAGUGGCUUUUAAGGCGUGAAUGUGAACUCUAUUUGCAAUGUGAGAGACAAUAUAACAAAAUCAAUAUGAUAUAACAUGAAUUUUAUUCAAUCCGUGCAUAGCAAUAUUUGAAAUGUCAGAAAGGAAAAUGUUAGUUUGAUGCAGAAAUGAUGCGAAACAAAGACGGAAAAUGUUUGAAAUGGGUUAUGGUAGCGCCUAUGAUAAGGGCAGAAUUAUCUGAUUCAAUUGGUUCAUCGGUUUAGAAUUUGGAUAGUUAAGAAUUUGAUGGUCAAAUUAGAUAU
rnacentral:lncRNA from 1 species